rnacentral:lncRNA from 1 species
CUGGGAGCAUGAACUUCUGAGCAGUGAUCUGAAACUGAGCUCACAAUAUUUCUGAGGCAUGCCUGUACUGCCCUCUCCCAAGAAUGCCUACGUGACCAGCCCUCAGACUGGAUCUUCUGCCUCCAAAUUAUGUGAGAGACUGAGAGCUCUCUCUCUUCAUUUCCUCGUAAGGCCACCAAACCCGUCAGCACCUACUUACCUGACCAUUGUCUCAACUACAGCUGAUGGGAUCCAUGACAGAAGCUUAACCAAAACUAGCCCAUGAGAUUGUUUUUCUCAGGAAUGUAGAAAUGAGGCAGAGGUUAGCCACUGUCCGUGUGCUCUGGAGCUAAACGCAUGCACUUCUUUCUCCUGCUGCCCUGUGAA